GAAGAAUCACUUUCUCCACCUCUCUUUCCAAGUACCCACAUUCUGCUUUACUCUUCUCCACCACUCUCGCUCUCUCUCUCUCUCUCAAGCUCGCCGCCGCUCUCUCUCUCUCUCUCUCUCGUUCACUGUCUAGCCAUGGCUGUCAACAAAGAAUCUGUUCCUCCACCAGUGAUCGGCAAGAUUGGACCCUACACAGUGUUCAUGACCCCGCCCUCCACUCCCAAGCCAACCGAACCCGCAC
rnacentral:lncRNA from 1 species